rnacentral:rRNA from 1 species
CACGUAGGGCGCAAGCGUUGUCCGGAAUUAUUGGGCGUAAAGAGCUCGUAGGCGGUCUGUUGCGUCCGCUGUGAAAACUCGGGGCUUAACCCCGAGCCUGCAGUGGAUACGGGCAGACUAGAGGUAGGUAGGGGAGAAUGGAAUUCCCGGUGUAGCGGUGAAAUGCGCAGAUAUCGGGAGGAACACCAAUAGCGAAGGCAGCUCGCUGGGACGGUACUGACGCUAAGGCGCGAAAGCGUGGGGAGCGAACAGG